AUUGAACGCUGGCGGCAGGCCUAACACAUGCGAGUCGAGCGGAUGAAGGGAGCUUGCUCCUGGAUUCAGCGGCGGACGGGUGAGUAAUGCCUAGGAAUCUGCCUGGUUGUGGUGGAUAACGUCCGGAAACGGGCGCUAAUACCGCAUACGUCCUGAGGGAGAAAGUGGGGGAUCUUCGGACCUCACGCCAUCAGAUGAGCCUAGGUCGGAUUAGCUAGUUGGUGGGGUAAAGGCCUACCAAGGCGACGAUCCGUAACUGGUCUGAGAGGAUGAUCAGUCACACUGGAACUGAGACACGGUCCAGACUCCUACGGGAGGCAGCAGUGGGGAAUAUUGGACAAUGGGCGCAAGCCUGAUCCAGCCAUGCCGCGUGUGUGAAGAAGGCCUUCGGAUUGUAAAGCACUUUUGUUUGGGAAGAAAAGCAGUAAGUUAAUACCUUGCUGUUUUGACGGUACCAAAAGAAUAAGCACCGGCUAACUUCGUG
rnacentral:rRNA from 1 species